GGAGAGAUGCCUGAGUGGUUGAAAGGACACGCUUGGAGAGCGUGCGUCCCGCUAUAUGCGUUUCAGUAAUAGCAUUGGAAAAUAUAUAGCGGGACCGUGGGUUCGAAUCCCACUCUCUCCGCCA
rnacentral:tRNA from 1 species